rnacentral:rRNA from 1 species
UUAAGUGACUAAGCGUACACGGUGGAUGCCUUGGCAGUUGGAGGCGAUGAAGGACGUAUUAACUUGCGAUAAGCCUAGUCAAGCUAGUAAAAAGCACUUGAGACUAGGAUUUCCGAAUGGGGAAACCCACCUGCUUGCAGGUAUCGUUAACUGAAUACAUAGGUUAACGAGGCGAACGCGGAGAACUGAAACAUCUAAGUACCCGUAGGAAAAGAAAUCAACCGAGAUUCCGAAAGUAGCGGCGAGCGAAAUCGGAACAGCCCUUAAGCUUAUUAUGUGUUAAUGGAAGGCUCUGGAAAGUGCCACGAUACAGGGUGAUAGUCCCGUACAUGAAAAGACAUUUUAAGUGAAAUCGAGUAGGUCGGAGCACGUGAAACUUUGACUGAAUAUAGGUGGACCAUCAUCUAAGGCUAAAUACUCCCAACUGACCGAUAGUGAACCAGUACCGUGAGGGAAAGGCGAAAAGAACCCCUGUGAGGGGAGUGAAAUAGAACCUGAAACCGUAUACGUACAAGCAGUAGGAGCAGGCUCUCGUAAGAGAAUAGUCCUGUGACUGCGUACCUUUUGUAUAAUGGGUCAGCGACUUAUAUUUAGUAGCAAGGUUAACCGAAUAGGGGAGCCGUAGCGAAAGCGAGUGUUAACUGCGCGUUGAGUUGCUAGGUAUAGACCCGAAACCGAGUGAUCUAGCCAUGGGCAGGUUGAAGGUUGAGUAACAUCAACUGGAGGACCGAACCCACUAACGUUGAAAAGUUAGGGGAUGACCUGUGGCUAGGAGUGAAAGGCUAAUCAAACCGGGAGAUAGCUGGUUCUCCCCGAAAUCUAUUUAGGUAGAGCCUCGGACGAAUACUUACGGGGGUAGAGCACUGUUAAGGCUAGGGGGUCAUCCCGACUUACCAACCCUUUGCAAACUCCGAAUACCGUAAAGUAAUAUCCGGGAGACACACGGCGGGUGCUAACGUCCGUCGUGAAGAGGGAAACAACCCAGACCGCCAGCUAAGGUCCCAAAGUCAUAGUUAAGUGGGAAACGAUGUGGAAAGGCCCAGACAGCCAGGAGGUUGGCUUAGAAGCAGCCAUCCUUUAAAGAAAGCGUAAUAGCUCACUGGUCGAGUCGGUCUGCGCGGAAGAUGUAACGGGGCUAAACUAUGCACCGAAGCUGCGGAUUCAUACUUUGUAUGAGUGGUAGGGGAGCGUUCUGUAAGCGGUUGAAGGUGUACCGGGAGGUAUGCUGGACGUAUCAGAAGUGCGAAUGCUGACAUGAGUAACGAUAAUGCGGGUGAAAAACCCGCACGCCGGAAGACCAAGGGUUCCUAUCCCAUGUUAAUCAGGGUAGGGUAAGUCGACCCCUAAGGCGAGGCCGAAAGGCGUAGUCGAUGGGAAACAGAUUAAUAUUUCUGUACUCGAUAUAAUUGCGAUGGGGGGACGGAGCAGGCUAAACAAGCAUGGCGUUGGUAGUCCAUGUGAAAGUGAGUAGGUUGGCGACUUAGGUAAAUCCGGGUUGCUGUUAAGACUGAGACACGAGACGAGUCACCACGGUGAUGAAGUUGUUGAUGCCAUACUUCCAGGAAAAGCCUCUAAGCUUCAGAUUAUAUGGAAUCGUACCCCAAACCGACACAGGUGGUCAGGUAGAGAAUACUAAGGCGCUUGAGAGAACUCGGGUGAAGGAACUAGGCAAAAUCGUACCGUAACUUCGGGAGAAGGUACGCUCCUAUCUGUGAUGAGACUUGCUCUCUAAGCGGACGGGAGCCGCAGUGACCAGGUGGCUGGGACUGUUUAUUAAAAACACAGCACUGUGCAAAAUCGCAAGAUGACGUAUACGGUGUGACACCUGCCCGGUGCCGGAAGGUUAAUUGAUGGGGUUAUCUUCGGAGAAGCUCUUGAUCGAAGCCCCGGUAAACGGCGGCCGUAACUAUAACGGUCCUAAGGUAGCGAAAUUCCUUGUCGGGUAAGUUCCGACCUGCACGAAUGGUGUAACCAUGGCCACGCUGUCUCCACCCGAGACUCAGUGAAAUUGAAAUCGCAGUGAAGAUGCUGUGUACCCGCGGCUAGACGGAAAGACCCCGUGAACCUUUACUACAGCUUGGCACUGAACAUUGAACCUACAUGUGUAGGAUAGGUGGGAGACUUUGAAGCAGCGACGCUAGUUGUUGUGGAGUCGUCCUUGAAAUACCACCCUUGUAGUUUUGAUGUUCUAACGUUGGCCCCUGAAUCGGGGUUACGGACAGUGCCUGGUGGGUAGUUUGACUGGGGCGGUCUCCUCCUAAAGAGUAACGGAGGAGCACGAAGGUUGGCUAAGUACGGUCGGACAUCGUACGGUUAGUGUAAUGGUAGAAGCCAGCUUAACUGCGAGACAGACACGUCGAGCAGGUACGAAAGUAGGUCAUAGUGAUCCGGUGGUUCUGAAUGGAAGGGCCAUCGCUCAACGGAUAAAAGGUACUCCGGGGAUAACAGGCUGAUACCGCCCAAGAGUUCAUAUCGACGGCGGUGUUUGGCACCUCGAUGUCGGCUCAUCACAUCCUGGGGCUGAAGUCGGUCCCAAGGGUAUGGCUGUUCGCCAUUUAAAGUGGUACGCGAGCUGGGUUUAGAACGUCGUGAGACAGUUCGGUCCCUAUCUGCCGUGGGCGUUUGAGAAUUGAGAGGGGUUGCUCCUAGUACGAGAGGACCGGAGUGGACGAACCGCUGGUGUUCGGGUUGUCAUGCCAAUGGCAUUGCCCGGUAGCUACGUUCGGAACUGAUAAGCGCUGAAAGCAUCUAAGCGCGAAGCAGGCCUCGAGAUGAGUUCUCACU